GACGAACGCUGGCGGCGUGCUUAACACAUGCAAGUCGAACGGAAAGGCCCUGCUUUUGUGGGGUGCUCGAGUGGCGAACGGGUGAGUAACACGUGAGUAACCUGCCCUUGACUUUGGGAUAACUUCAGGAAACUGGGGCUAAUACCGGAUAGGAGCUCCUGCUGCAUGGUGGGGGUUGGAAAGUUUCGGCGGUUGGGGAUGGACUCGCGGCUUAUCAGCUUGUUGGUGGGGUAGUGGCUUACCAAGGCUUUGACGGGUAGCCGGCCUGGGAGGGUGACCGGCCACAUUGGGACUGAGAUACGGCCCAGACUCCUACGGGAGGCAGCGGUGGGGAGUAUUGCACAGUGGGCGGGAGCCUGAUGCAGCAACGCCGCGUGCGGGAUGACGGCCUUCGGGUUGUGAACCGCUUUAGCCUGUGACGAAGCGUGAGUGACGGUAAUGGGUAAAGAAGCACCGGCUAACUACGUG
rnacentral:rRNA from 1 species